rnacentral:sRNA from 1 species
CAUUACCGAGAGACGGGGUCUAAUGGGCCCCACUCUUCACCCGUGAAUACAUACCAUUGUUGCUUUGGCGGGCCACCGCGUUGGCGUCGGCUCAGGGGUCGGUCCCCCGAUCCGGCGAGCGCCCGCCAGAGGCCACGAGAUUCUUAGUAGCGUCGUCUGAACAAACAAGCAAAACAGUAAAACUUUCAACAACGGAUCUCUUGGUUCUGGCAUCGAUGAAGAACGCAGCGAAAUGCGAUAAGUAAUGUGAAUUGCAGACUUCAGUGAAUCAUCGAAUCUUUGAACGCACAUUGCGCCCUCUGGUAUUCCGGGGGGCAUGCCUGUCCGAGCGUCGUUACCCCACUCAAGCCUGGCUUGGUCAUGGGUCCUCGCCCCCUGUGGCGUACCCGAAAUACAGUGGCAGCCCACGGUGGACCCUCGAGCGUAGUAAGAUUUCAAUAUCCCGCUCUGCAGGCGUCAUCUGGUCCCGCCAAAACACCCCAAACUCAACGAUUGACCUCGGAUCAGGUAGGGAUACCCGCUGAACUUAAGCAUAUCAAUAAGCGGAGGAAAAGAAACCAACAGGGAUUGCCUCAGUAACGGCGAG